rnacentral:rRNA from 1 species
UAAGGAAUAUUGGUCAAUGGGCGCAAGCCUGAACCAGCCAUGCCGCGUGCAGGAAGACGGCCCUAUGGGUUGUAAACUGCUUUUGUACCGGAAUAAACCUUCUCUUGCGAGAGAAGCUGAACGUACGGUAAGAAUAAGGAUCGGCUAACUCCGUGCCAGCAGCCGCGGUAAUACGGAGGAUCCAAGCGUUAUCCGGAUUUAUUGGGUUUAAAGGGUGCGUAGGCGGCUUUUUAAGUCAGGGGUGAAAACUUGCGGCUCAACCGUAAGCUUGCCUUUGAUACUGAGGAGCUUGAAUACACUUGAGGUAGGCGGAAUGUGACAAGUAGCGGUGAAAUGCAUAGAUAUGUCACAGAACACCAAUUGCGAAGGCAGCUUACUAAAGUGUGAUUGACGCUGAGGCACGAAAGCGUGGGGAUCAAACAGG